GACGAACGCUGGCGGCGUGCCUAAUACAUGCAAGUCGAGCGGACCGAAGGGAGCUUGCUCCUUUAGGUUAGCGGCGGACGGGUGAGUAACACGUGGGCAACCUGCCCUGCAGACUGGGACAACUUCGGGAAACCGGAGCUAAUACCGGAUAACACAGCAAACCGCAUGGUUUUCGGUUGAAAGGCGGCUUUUAGCUGUCACUGCAGGAUGGGCCCGCGGCGCAUUAGCUAGUUGGUGAGGUAACGGCUCACCAAGGCGACGAUGCGUAGCCGACCUGAGAGGGUGACCGGCCACACUGGGACUGAGACACGGCCCAGACUCCUACGGGAGGCAGCAGUAGGGAAUCUUCCGCAAUGGACGAAAGUCUGACGGAGCAACGCCGCGUGAGCGAAGAAGGUCUUCGGAUCGUAAAGCUCUGUUGUCAGGGAAGAACAAGUACCGUUCGAACAGGGCGGUACCUUGACGGUACCUGACGAGGAAGCCACGGCUAACUACGUGCCAGCAGCCGCCGCGG
rnacentral:rRNA from 1 species